rnacentral:rRNA from 1 species
GAUGAACGCUGGCGGCGUGCCUAAUACAUGCAAGUCGAGCGAACAGACGCGGAGCUUGCUCCUCUGACGUUAGCGGCGGACGGGUGAGUAACACGUGGAUAACCUACCUAUAAGACUGGGAUAACUUCGGGAAACCGGAGCUAAUACCGGAUAAUAUAUUGAACCGCAUGGUUCAAUAGUGAAAGACGGUUUUGCUGUCCCUUAUAGAUGGAUCCGCGCCGCAUUAGCUAGUUGGUAAGGUAACGGCUUACCAAGGCGACGAUGCGUAGCCGACCUGAGAGGGUGAUGGGCCACACUGGAACUGAGACACGGUCCAGACUCCUACGGGAGGCAGCAGUAGGGAAUCUUCCGCAAUGGGCGAAAGCCUGACGGAGCAACGCCGCGUGAGUGAUGAAGGUCUUCGGAUCGUAAAACUCUGUUAUUAGGGAAGAACAAAUGUGUAAGUAACUAUGCACGUCUUGACGGUACCUAAUCAGAAAGCCCCGGCUAACUACGUG